rnacentral:rRNA from 1 species
CCUACGGGGUGCAGCAGUGAGGAAUAUUGGUCAAUGGACGAGAGUCUGAACCAGCCAAGUAGCGUGAAGGAUGACUGCCCCAUGGGUUGUAAACUUCUUUUAUAUGGGAAUAAAAUGUUCCACGUGUGGGAUUUUGUAUGUACCAUAUGAAUAAAGAUCGGCUAACUCCGUGCCAGCAGCCGCGGUAAUACGGAGGAUCCGAGCGUUAUCCGGAUUUAUUGGGUUUAAAGGGAGCGUAGGUGGAUUGUUAAGUCAGUUGUGAAAGUUUGCGGCUCAACCGUAAAAGUGCAGUUGAAACUGGCAGUCUUGAGUACAGUAGAGGUGGGCGGAAUUCGUGGUGUAGCGGUGAAAUGCUUAGAUAUCACGAAGAACUCCGAUUGCGAAGGCAGCUCACUGGACUGCAACUGACACUGAGGCUCGAAAGUGUGGGGAUCAAACAGGAUUAGAUACCCUUGUAGUC